rnacentral:rRNA from 1 species
UACGGGGGGGGCAAGCGUUGUUCGGAAUUACUGGGCGUAAAGGGCUUGUAGGUGGCCAACUAAGUCAAACGUGAAAUCCCUCGGCUUAACCGGGGAACUGCGUCCGAUACUGGAUGGCUUGAGGUUGGGAGAGGGAUGCGGAAUUCCAGGUGUAGCGGUGAAAUGCGUAGAUAUCUGGAGGAACACCGGUGGCGAAGGCGGCAUCCUGGACCAAUUCUGACGCUGAGUGAGCGAAAGCCAGGGGAGCAAACGGG